ensembl:lncRNA
CGGGAAACUGCUCACGGCUGAGACCGCCGCCCUGCGUUUCACUCAUAGCCGAAAUAUACUGCAAAAUAUACUGCCCAAAAACAAUCAGUAAACAGCUCUGAGGAAAUAUCUUAACAUCCAAAGUAUUUGUAUUCUGUAUCUUUAUGAAUAAAAUCAUUUAUUUUAUUUAUUUAUUUUUAGCUUGGUUGGCUGCAAUAAGAAGAAAGGACCUUACUUUCGAUCUCACCCCCCAGUCGACGAGAGUGUGUUCUCUGCAUUUUCACUCGGGACAAUCUAAAAUGAUGGAUGACCCCAUUUUAAACCUGCCAGAGUCAUAACAAACAACAAGACCUGGAGUAACAAGAUAAGUGGGCAUGGCUUAUGGUCAAAAGUAAACCCAAAAUCUGCAUUUUAAUCCCAGUUCAACUGCUUCUGUGUUUUACUAAUGAAAACAUUCAAAAUGUCACUGAAGGACUCCAAGCUGUAUGAUGUCAUGAAGAAACAUUUCCAA